AGAGUGGCCUGUGAACACCGGUCGGGCGAGCUGGCAGUUGGGAGUUUCCCUAGCGACUCAGUUCGGGUGGGCGUUGGGCGCCUGAGUCAGCCAAACAGCCUACUCGGGGUUCUUGGGUAGCCUUUGGGGUGAGGGGACUUGGGCGGCCUUGGUCUGUAAGCUCUGCGUUCCCGGGCGUGGAAGAGACUGGCCGCGCACAUGCGUUUCUGUGGUUUUCCUGGUUUGGGGAAAGCGGGUAAAUGGUGGCUGGUUGCGGCUAACUGGGCCGCGCUAAAAGGUAACCCAAGGCAGGUGGAUUACCUGGGGAAACAGCUGGAGCAGUGGUCCUGGGCCGCCAGUCCGCGGUCAUCCCGGGAGCUUAAGAUGCGGAGUGGUGAUAGGCUCCGGAUGUAUGAGCCCUGUGGCUCAAGGGCGCUGUUCUCUCUGCUCCGAAAUAGAAAUAAUACCUGUCUCACAGAGCUGUUGAAAAGCUCCACUGAAAUAAUGACCGCAAGUGUGAACUGUAAAGCAAUGUAAGUAGUAUUUAUUAUUAAAAGGUCUCUACUGAAAGAAAGAGACCUAGGAGGAAUGCAGUGCCCGGCGCUGAUUGGAAAACGGGUGGCGCUGCGUCCUGGGCCGAGGCUUCCCUAGCGAAAACCUUGUCUCCCUCCAUUUCGUCCCUUGCCUGCCUUCCCAGGAGAGACGUGGCCGAUAGAAGCCGAGUGGCAGUAACUCUAAGUUGGAGUUACACGGUGGAGAAGGAAGCACUGACUCAGACUCGGGUAACUUCCUCUUAUUCCCUCACACGUGUAUCUUGUUCCCUUCUUCGAAGUCUGUAAAUUUAAAAUCCUAAGCCCCCCAACAACUGAACAGACCCCCGUGAGGCCAAGGGGACACCAGCAAAAUCUUAACAACUGAGUUCCCAGUCAUAACGGGAUGGGAGGUCAGACGGACCUGGUUAUACCCUCUCCCUUUUGUGAUUUAGAGGAGAUAGCUGACUGGCCAUAAAGUUAAAAUAGAGGCCAGGCGCGGUGGCUUACGCCUGUAAUCCCAGCACUUUGGGACGCCGAAGCAGGUGGGUCACCUGAGGUCAGGAGUGGAUCACCUGAGGUAUGGCAAACAUGGUGAAACGCUGUCUCUACUAAAAAUACAAAAAUUAGCCGGGCGUGGUGGCACGCACCUGUAAUCCCAGCUACUCAGGAGGCCGAGGCAGGAGAAUGGUUUGAACCCGGCAGGCGGAGGUUGCAGUGAGCGGAGAUCGUGCCAUUGCACUCCAGCCUGGGCGACAAGAGUGAAACUCUGUUUCAAAAAAAAAAACGGAGAUGAUAGGACUGACGGAAUUGACUCCAUGGCAAUAAGAUACCAAAGUAUAAACAGGACCUAAGCCCAUGCCAAGCAAGGGUUAAAAGUCAUGCAUCCCUACGCUUGAAAAAUAAACUAUGUUCUCACUAUGCUUCAAGGUUUUUCUUUAGCAGCUAAACAAGCGCUGGCCUCACAGUAUUAAAACAAUUUGCAGUUCAUCGACCACCAGACACUAACAACCCUCUCCCACCAGCCGUAACUACAGCUUUUAUUGAUUUCAGUUACUUUCUCCUGAUAAGAAGGUCACUGACCAUGGACUUGUUCUGGCCAAUUUGUAGUGAUUGCAUGCUUACGUAACUUCCUGAAAAGAUAUUUUGAUGUAUAGGACCAAACUGUAAAUACAUUUAAAUGUUAAGUCUCCACCCCAAAGUGAACAUGGAUUGUCUGUUAAACAUGCAUAUUUGUUUAAUAUGCAUGUGUCAAGACCACUUUCAUGAAUAUUCAUAGCCGCUCCUCUAACUUGUUGAAUAUGUAUGUUUAGCCAACCAGUUAAGCAUAAAGUUCCUACUCCAACUCCUCCUCUGAAGUGUCUGUAUGUGGUCUUGGCUGGAGGCAUGCUUCCCAGCCUGCAGAAUGGCCACCUUGCAGGCUGUAACUCCUUAUAAGAAACAAAGUCUCUCCUUUUCUAAAUCUAUAGAUCUUAUGAUUUUUUAGUUAACAUGCACAAUAAGAAUACAGGAAGCUAAGGAAAAGAUAACUGCAGAAUCUUACUCCUAAGUGGGAAUUGUGAACAAUAAUGACUACCUGAAAUGUUACAGGCUUUUUAAGAAUCAGCAAGAUCAUUCAGGUUUGGUUGUAUACAUUAAAUUUACAAAUUGGCAAAAUAAAAAUGAUUUAAUUCAGAA
ensembl:lncRNA THOC1-DT THOC1 divergent transcript